UACAGUGAUCGCCGCCGUGGUGCUCGGGAAGCCGGUGUAAAGCCGGCGCGGCCCUCGCCACUGUGAACGGGACUGCCGUCGGCCCUCGUCGCGCGUCGAGGUCACUGGGUGCUUCUCGCCCGGGAAGGCCGGCCGCCGGCGCACCAUCCCGUCAGCCAGGAGACCGGCCACGGCACGCUUCGACCC
rnacentral:ncRNA from 2 species